GUGGAAUGACUGUGGCUCUGUGCCAUCUCGAAAUCUACUGGUCUCUAAGCACAAACGAACAUUCUCUUAAACUAAUGAAAUGAGUGGCAGGCAGCGUGUGCAGAGCACCAGCAAAGGCUCAGAGGGAUGCCCACAGAGUUCCACCGCAACCGUGCACAGAGGAGGAGGAGAAUGCUCCCUACAGGUGAAAACUAGGCUAAUACACAAUGAUUGAAGACUAAAGAAUGAGAAGAGCCACCAGUGGGGCGCAUUCACAGAGAAACGGUCACAUGAUGAGGCAGCAAGAAGGCAAAAAUUGCGAGCCAACAAGAGAGGCCUCAGAAGAAUCCAACCCUGGUGCCACCUUCAUUUUAAACUUCCAACAACCCCAGAACUGUGGAAAAAAAUUCUAUUGUUUGUCUGUGGUAUUUUGUUAUGGCAACCCUAGCAAACUAAUACAAUGCGCAAACUAAUACAUUAAACAGAAUAUUAAAACGAACAAAA
rnacentral:antisense_RNA from 1 species